rnacentral:rRNA from 1 species
UAGCAUAUCAAUAAGCGGAGGAAAAGAAACCAACAGGGAUUGCCCUAGUAACGGCGAGUGAAGCGGCAACAGCUCAAAUUUGAAAUCUGGCUCUUUCAGAGUCCGAGUUGUAAUUUGCAGAGGGCGCUUUGGCUUUGGCAGCGGUCCAAGUUCCUUGGAACAGGACGUCACAGAGGGUGAGAAUCCCGUACGUGGUCGCUAGCUAUUGCCGUGUAAAGCCCCUUCGACGAGUCGAGUUGUUUGGGAAUGCAGCUCUAAAUGGGAGGUAAAUUUCUUCUAAAGCUAAAUACUGGCCAGAGACCGAUAGCGCACAAGUAGAGUGAUCGAAAGAUGAAAAGCACUUUGGAAAGAGAGUCAAACAGCACGUGAAAUUGUUGAAAGGGAAGCGCUUGCAGCCAGACUUGCUUGCAGUUGCUCAUCCGGGCUUUUGCCCGGUGCACUCUUCUGCAGGCAGGCCAGCAUCAGUUUGGGCGGUGGGAUAAAGGUCUCUGUCACGUACCUCUCUUCGGGGAGGCCUUAUAGGGGAGGCGACAUACCACCAGCCUGGACUGAGGUCCGCGCAUCUGCUAGGAUGCUGGCGUAAUGGCUGUAAGCGGCCCGUCUUGAAACACGGACCAAGGAGUCUAACAUCUAUGCGAGUGUUUGGGUGUCAAGCCCGAACGCGUAAUGAAAGUGAACGGAGGUGGGAACCCGCAAGGGUGCACCAUCGACCGAUCCUGAUGUCUUCGGAAGGAUUUGAGUAAGAGCAUGGCUGUUGGGACCCGAAAGAUGGUGAACUAUGCUUGAAUAGGGUGAAGCCAGAGGAAACUCUGGUGGAGGCUCGCAGCGGUUCUGACGUGCAAAUCGAUCGUCAAAUUUGGGCAUAGGGGCGAAAGACUAAUCGAACUAUCUAGUAGCUGGGUCUGCG